GAUGAACGCUGGCGGCGUGCCUAAUACAUGCAAGUCGAGCGAACGGACGAGAAGCUUGCUUUUCUGAUGUUAGCGGCGGACGGGUGAGUAACACGUGGAUAACCUACCUAUAAGACUGGGAUAACUUCGGGAAACCGGAGCUAAUACCGGAUAAUAUUUUGAACCGCAUGGUUCAAAAGUGAAAGACGGUCUUGCUGUCACUUAUAGAUGGAUCCGCGCUGCAUUAGCUAGUUGGUAAGGUAACGGCUUACCAAGGCAACGAUGCAUAGCCGACCUGAGAGGGUGAUGGGCCACACUGGAAGUGAGACACGCUCAAGACUCCUACGGAAGGCAGCAGUGGGGAAUCUUCCGCAAUGGGCGAAAGCCUGACGGAGCAACGCCGCGUGAGUGAUGAAGGUCUUCGGAUCGUAAAACUCUGUUAUUAGGGAAGAACAUAUGUGUAAGUAACUGUGCACAUCUUGACGGUACCUAAUCAGAAAGCAACGGCUAACUACGUG
rnacentral:rRNA from 1 species